rnacentral:rRNA from 1 species
UACGUAGGGGGCUAGCGUUGUCCGGAUUUAUUGGGCGUAAAGAGCGUGUAGGCGGCCAGGUAGGUCUGCUGUGAAAACUCGAGGCUCAACCUCGAGACGUCGGCGGAAACCAUCUGGCUAGAGUCCGGAAGAGGAGAGUGGAAUUCCUGGUGUAGCGGUGAAAUGCGCAGAUAUCAGGAAGAACACCCGUGGCGAAGGCGGCUCUCUGGGAUGGUACUGACGCUGAGACGCGAAAGCGUGGGGAGCGAACAGG